GGACCGCAGGCUCUGUCGCCCACCCGGCCCAGCAAGCUAUGUGCCCUCCAGGAGUGGCAGAUGCCCGUGAGCAGACAUGAGCCCAGCCCAGCCUGGACGAGCGCUGUGGGUGAAUAAUGGAUGCCAUCCUAGCGCGGGCAGUGCUGUGCUCACGUGGCCAGCCAGGCCCAGGCCACCUGCACAGUGGCCAGUGAGGGUGGGGCUGAGAGACACCCAGUGAAUGGGCUGUGGCCAGGUCCCUGCAUCACCCGGGCCCAGGGUACAGCUUGCAAGAGCCCUGAGGCCAGGGUCGAGGUUGAGGACAGCAGGGCGGGCUCGCAGCCGAGUGGCCCCUGGGACAGGGGAGGAGGCCACUGUGAGCCGCCAUUGAGACUUUUAUUGGAGUGAAAUGGGGGCUCAGGCGGCUGAUGGAGGAGGCAUGUGACCUACAUAAGGUUUUCAAAAGAUUGUUUGCUGGAUGGGGGCUCUGAUGCCAGGGGAGCUGGGUACGGGUCCCAGCGAGAGGAGACCACCUCGAUCUGAGCAGGUGGUGGCUGGGAGGGCAGGAAGCAUUAGAGCCAGGUGUGGCUGGAAGGCCCAACCACAUGGGUUUGCUGACUGAUCCGCUGUUGGGGCGGAGGCACAUUUAUGAAAAGGGGAAGGACUCGGGUUGAGCCCUCCUGCCCCUCACUGCCAUCCUCCCCAUGCACACCACAGUCUGAACUCCCUCGAGGCAGAGAGCCCUGGCCUCUGCACUUGCACACUGACUCACGCAGAGCCUGGGGCUGCCUGGGCCUGAUGGAGCUGGCAGGCAGGGACUGUCUUUUUCCUGGAGGACUUCCUGGUGGAGGCCUGCUGCAGUUGGAGGCCUGAAGCACAGCGGACAGCCCCAGGCGUGUGUGGCACACCCAACACCCCCAUCCUUCCCAUGAGCCAGGACAUGGCCCGGGGGGCCUCUCUCCGAGGGAAGUGUGCCACCAUCAGGACGUGGGGUUCAGGAAGCAGCCCAGGCUGAAUGGAGGAGAAUGGAGGCAGGAAGGCCAGGAAGAAGUUGAAGCUGCCUUCCCAGCGACAGGUGAGGCUGGGGGCUCGGCUGAGCCGCACCAGAGGAUCGCGCAGGGCCUGGGGGCUGUCCACCUAGGCAUGGAGAACAGGCCCGGAGGAGAGGGCCACAAGCCCAGCAGUGAGUUUAGGAGCCCUAGAGCCCAGAGCCACCGUCCCAGGCCAGAGCUGAGCACCUGCUGGGAUUUGUGCCUGCUGGAAGAUGCCCUCCUCAGAUCCCCUCACCCCUGUCCCAGGGCCUACCACCCCAUCACCCACACUGAGCCAUGAGGGGUCAGAACAGACAUGGGCUGUGGUCCGGCAGCUGCCCGCACCCCUAUGCACAGAGCCACGGGGCAGAGGGGAGCCUCCAUCUGGGCCAACAGGGCCCAUCUCAGGCAAUGAGAACAGGAGGGGAGGUGGGGCUGAGGCCUGGGGUGGAGGGCUUAAAAGGGCUUCCCAGAGAGGGCCACAGCUGAGUCGGGUCUCAGAGCAGAAGUGCAUGGCCAGUGCGGGCAGCGGGGGUGGGAGGUGGGACCUGAGGACCCUGGGUAGAGGCCGUGGCGGGCAGAGGCCAGCAGCCAAUCAGAGCUGGCAGCUCACAGACAGCCCCUGGGGAUGGUCUGGGCCCGCAUGCCCAGAGGGAGGCCGGUGUGAGAACAGCUGGGUGAGCCAGCCCGAACGUGCCUCCCUCUCGGCCCCCACCCUCACCCAGAUCUCGCUGCCAUCUGAGCAGGAAGGGAGCUGGGAUCUGAGAUUGGGCCUCCACAGACUCAGAUGCUGCAGGGGUGGGCCCCACCCGGCAAAUGGGAGACCAACACCAGAGAACCAGCUGCCCUGCUCGGCCCUGACCCAACCUCGAGAGCCCAUCUCUCUCUGGAGGCGGCUCCGGCCCCACCAUUCCGGCCCCUGCCCAUAUCUGGGGCAGAUCAGCUGGGGAGGGACAGGGACAAGAGUCGUGCUAAUCUCUGCGUCUCCUGGGACGGCCCCGCCAGGUUUGCAGCGGGUGGGGGGUGGUGAGCAGGGUAGGAUUUCCAGUUGGCCCCAUCCCAGGCGCCGACACCUGCUUCGGGCGCGACGAGUCCAUUCUGCUCCUGUCAGAGAUAACACCUCCAGCGCUCACCGGCUGUCCAGGGAACAAGGGCUGGCACUGGCUCGAGCCAGGCAGAGAGGUGGGCAUGGUGGGCCAGGGCCCAGGGGAGGGCCAGUUGGAAGUGAUAACCUCCCCUUCCUGCCUUCCAUCAGGGGGCCCAGAGGGAGGGGCAUGGGGUGGGAGUGGAGCAGGCUUGGGGGACCCAAGGGGUCCCUUCCUCUCCAGGACACAAGCCACCUUGGACACAACCGGCCCCUCCCUCAUCCCCCAGUCAAACAAGGUGGCCAGAGAGGACGUGGGGGAAGGAGGUGGAGGCCUGGGCCAACUCCCCAGAUCCCCCAGCUCCUGCCUGACUCUUGGCCAUCUGCCCAGCCGUGGGAAGAGAGGGCCACAAGCAUCUUUUGGUGGUGCCAUAAGUGCCCCCUGACAGUAGCCUGAGUUUCCCAUGCUUUGAGAUGGGGUGGUGGGGAGGGACUGACCUGUCCCUAGGUCCGCACCAUCUCUGGGUCUUUGGACACAAGUGUGUGGGUAACCACGCUUCUGCAUGGCAUAGAGCUGGCUUUGGGUAAAGUCCCUAUCCCUGUGGUCCAGUCUGAGAGGUGGCUGGUCACAGUCACCCCGACCCCCCGCCUCGGAGGCUUGGGUUCCCCCAAUAAACUGGGCCGCCAUCA